ACCAACUCAGCUUAUGUGUUUCAGAGUGCACAUUUAAUUAUAUGAUCAAUAAUUAGGUAUAUACAUGUGUUGACGGGUGCACGUGCACCCACUCUCUCACACGUGGGUCCAACUCUGUUAUGAACUAAUUGCUCUACACUUCUAAUUACUUGGCGGGUAGCUUAUUACAUGAGCCGUGAGCAGGAACUUAGCUUCCAUUUCUCACCAAAAGUACUUCUUUGAGAAAACACUUCACAAAAUGAACUGAUUUUAAAAGCUUGACCAAACUGGCUAACGAAGCUUAUCAACUAAAAUCCAACUCCUACAUCACCUCUAUCAGCC
rnacentral:lncRNA from 1 species